AUGCUCCCAUUCUUUGAAUUUAGCUUUGAACUCAUUACUCUGAAAGUAAGUGGGGGACCUGGGCACGGGGAUCCCUCUCUGGCUGCUCCCGGAGGCUGCGGCAGAGCCGAGCUGCUGCCCUGCCCCGGCUGGCCCCGCACGCUCAGGGGCCUCCCAAAACCCGGCCGAGCCGUCCCAGGCACAGCCCAGCCCGUGAACGGAGCCCGGAGCCCGAGCGGGGCAAAGCUGAGCUUGUGCCGAGUGCCCGGGGCGCUCCUCCUGUGCCGUGUCACGGCUCGCAUCCCGAGCUCGUUUUCACCAUUCCGUCUUGUUCCUCUCGCAUCCCGAGCCCGUUUUCACCAUUCCGUCUUGUUCCUCUCGCAUCCCGAGCUCGUUUUCACCAUUCCGUCGUGCUCCUCUCGCCCGGGAGCCGCCGCUUGUCACAGCAGGCGUGGCCCCAUCCAUCCUCAGGAUACUGGGAUACCGGGGUGCCAGGGCUUGGAGGCCCAGUCCUACAAAUCCAGGCUCAAAUACCCACAGAGUUUGGAAGGCUCGGAGACACUUUCAGACUCAGAUCUGACCAAAGCUUUACUUUUUUUGGGACAGUGUCACAGAGCCCUGCUGAUGAGUUUAGCAGGCAUUGAGCUCAGGCUGUUCUGUGUAAGCCUGGUCAUUGUUUUGAGGUGUUUAAACAGUUUGUGGUUUCAGCCUGUCAGGGUCAGCAAACCAGGGGUUUCCAGCCACGGGGGCUCAGUGGUGGGUGUGUGGUGUGAGGGAUGCUCAGUGAUAAAUUCAUGUGUUGAGGGUUUGAGGUGCCAGCUCAAUUUUAUUAUUAUUAUUUUUUAUUUCAUUCUCCUUGCUAUAAUACUUCAGCAAACACGUUCGUGGCUGCCUGCAAACCCCUCUGCUCUCACCUCUCCCAUCACCAGCACCAGGACCAGGAGUGCUGCUCCUAAUCCUGCCCAGCUGAUCUCACUUUUCAAGUGCUCAGCCCUUCUCCCCCCAUUCUGAAGCAAGCCCAUCUAAACAGGAUGAUGGGAUGGUUGUCCAGGUGCACCCGAGGAAAGCCCUGGAGCCACCCGAAGUGUCUGGCGUCAGGCCCUGUUCCAUCUCACCCUUCUUGGAUCCGGAAAUCCAGUUCUCCAGAGCCAGAUCACCUCUCUCCUGCUCCCAGUGAGCUCCCUCAAGGUGACUCUCAGCAGGACCUGGAGGAGUGGAGCCCCUCCCAGGACAGCCUGGGUGAGCUGGAAUGCCAGUCCUGCACAGGGCAGGACUUUGUUUCGUUCCUGUUAAGAGCUUGAAGGGAUUUGAGUUCUGCCAUGAGAGGCACAGUCACAGCCACCCUCCUGCUGCCUCUGAGGGUUUAUUUACACAGAGGGACUCUGGCAGUUCCCCCACAGGACUGAGCUGGUUGAGAGCAAGUCCUGGGGAAAUUCAGCCCCUUAAACAGCACUGAGUGGGGGUUGUGGCUGCAAGAAGAGAUGGCUGGAAAGUUGCACUCAGGUCAGCAAAGAGCUUGGAAGGAGGAACAUGGAAGGAGCCACGUGGUCAGUCUGCACUCACAGAGUGGGGAUCCAGGAUGUGCCACAAGCUGGAACCAUCCCAUGCUGUGCUUCCCUGUGCAGUGCAGGAUUGGAGCCAGUGGCUCUGUUUGCUGGCAAAUGCCACCAUCACACCCUCCUCCUCCUCCGGUGGCAUCUGGUGCCACUGGCGGCAUGGUGUUUGCUGGCAAAUGCCACCAUCACACCCUCCUCCUCCUCAGGUGGCAUCUGGUGCCACUGGUGGCAUGGUAGAUGUGUGGGAGCUGCCUGGCCCCAGCUCUUCCCUUCCUUGUGCAAGCUGGAGAGGCUCCAGAGGACAUCCCCCCCAGGCACCCCACUGCAGCAUCCCACCUGCACAUCCCACCUGGGCACCCCAGCCAGCCUGCACGCUGGCCCUGCUCCUGGGGCUCAGUGCCCAGCAUCACCCUCUGCUCCAGGUGCCCCAGCCCUGCAUCCUGGCAGAGCCAAAGGCCAUCUGUCCCACCCCAGCACUGUUUUGGGGAAAGUGGCUCACCUGGAUGCCUGAGAGUGUUGUCCAAACCCGGCAGCUGAGGGGCUGGCACAGGAGCUCUUGGUGCACCCAUGGAUCCAUUCUGCCCCAGGAGCAGGGAGUUGCCCUGGGUGGGCAGUGCUGUGCUGCCUUACCACAGUCUGGGGCUGACAGACACUCUUCACCCUUUCCAGGGGAACCAAAUAUUAGCAAACCUGUCAAGCUCACUCAAACACCGGUUUUCAUCUGCUUUGCCUGGAGCUGCAGCCAGGCCCAGCUGUGCUGCCUCACUGCCCAGAGACCUGCACCCUCCAGAGGCCUCUGUGCCCCUGGCAGGAGUUCUUGAGGGAGGAAAGAUGGCUGAAAGCAAGGCACCCAAAGUCAUGCCUCGAUAUAACCUGCCCCUGCAUUGCACCAGAGUGGGUGAGAACGUUCCCCAGCCUAGGACACCCUCCUCCAGUGACAGCCUGGCCAAGGCUGUCCCAUCCCACAAACACCCCUCCCAGCAACGUGUUCAGCUGCCGUGGCAGCCCUGGGCCCUGUUUCUGACAGAUCCACCCCAAUCCCCUUUCAACUCUGAACAGGAUUCUGGGGAAAAAUGCAAGUUUUGUGGCACCGAAGGGGGGGGGAAGGGUUAAGAAUUGCUGCUGCCAGAUUGGGAACAGUUGCAAAAGGGGAACAUAAAAAUAAAAACAUGCAUCCCUAAAAUAAACCUGACAUUCAUUUCUUCUCUUGGCUGACACGUGGGGCUGCUCCCACUGCCUGGGCUUGGCUGCAGAGGGUGGAGCUCCCACCAGAGCCCGGGUCUCCUCAGGGUAUCCGUGGGCACCCCUAUUCCCACUCCUCCUGUGGAAACUGAAGCCUUGAGCCCUUCAGAGGAGCAGCGACAGGGGCACAGCUGCAGAGGGGCUGUUUGUGCUGGCAGCUCCAGGGUGGCAGCAGGGCUGAUGGAGAAGGGAGCCCCCAGGCCGGGGUGGCUGGUGGCAGAGCAGGUGCCUGCAGCUCUCCCUGUGGCAGGGACAUCCCCUGCUCUGCCCGCUCU
rnacentral:lncRNA from 12 species